rnacentral:rRNA from 1 species
GACGAACCGUCCAAACGUUAUUCGGAAUCACUGGGCUUACAGAGUUCGUAGGCGGUCUGGAAAGUUGGGUGUGAAAUCCCUCGGCUCAACCGAGGAACUGCGCUUGAAACUACCAGACUCGAGGGAGAUAGAGGAAAGCGGAACUGAUGGUGGAGCGGUGAAAUGCGUUGAUAUCAUCAGGAACACCGGUGGCGAAGGCGGCUUUCUGGGUCUUACCUGACGCUGAGGAACGAAAGCCAGGGGA